rnacentral:misc_RNA from 1 species
AUAAAAGAUCGAAUCUUGGUACUGGCCAGAGAUGUCCAAAAUGAUCUUCAAAAUGUUCUUUGUUCUAUAUGUUAUUGGAGUGAGAGAAGUGGCAUGUUGUUGCUUUGGGUGUCCCUUAGUAACAGAAGAAAUUGCCAAGACCUGCAUUACUACUGACCCGGAAUGUGCCUCAGUGCCAGUUAGUGAGGGAAAAUGUUUCAAUGGAUGCACUAUAACAUGUUUAAGUACUUGAGUGUCCCUUGGUAACAGAAGAUAUGGCCAAGACCUGCAUAACUACUGACCCGGAAUGUGCUGCAGUGCCUCUGAUGGACGACAACUGCUUCAAUGGAUGCACCAUAAUCUGUUCAAAGCUCAAGGUGGACGAACGCAACAGUACAACUGUAAAACCAGCAAUGAAAUGAAUAUUUACAGGAUUGUAAAAGAGAAAAGAAGAUAAUUCAAAGAGUGCGGGGAAGUGUGUUUAGAAAUAAAUAAAACACACAAAUAUUAUCA